GACGAACGCUGGCGGCGUGCUUAACACAUGCAAGUCGAGCGGUAAGGCCCUUUCGGAGGUACACGAGCGGCGAACGGGUGAGUAACACGUGGGUGACCUGCCCUCAGCUCUGGGAUAAGCCUGGGAAACCGGGUCUAAUACCGGAUAUGACUCCAUGACGCAUGUUGUGGGGUGGAAAGCCUUGUGCGGCUGAGGAUGGGCCCGCGGCCUAUCAGCUUGUUGGUGGGGUGAUGGCCUACCAAGGCGACGACGGGUAGCCGGCCUGAGAGGGCGACCGGCCACACUGGGACUGAGACACGGCCCAGACUCCUACGGGAGGCAGCAGUGGGGAAUCUUGCGCAAUGGGCGAAAGCCUGACGCAGCGACGCC
rnacentral:rRNA from 1 species